UGCUCUCAUGGCCAUUUGUUUCAGGCCUAAAUGAAGUUCAGAGGUGAUGGGCCAGACCUUGGCCUUUUGAUAAGCGCCUCAGCUUCACAACACUGUUGCUUCUAUGGCAGGCAGACUGCCCCACCCCGUACAUCCUGGGGGCCCCUGGUAUCAUGUCCGGGUCCCCGCACUCAAGGAUUCUGGUGAUGUCACAUAUGCCUCUCCUUUUCCCCAUCUUUUCAGGGUUUUCUCCUGAGAAUUCAAAGUCCAUGGUUUAGCAUCUUGUUCAGCCACCUUCAU
rnacentral:lncRNA from 1 species